GAAGCGCGAAAUGUAGUGUGAAUCGCAGAACAUUGUGAAUCAUCGAAUCUUUGAACGCACAUUGCGCCUCCAGUAACUUGGAGGCAUGCCUGUCUGAGCGUCAUUUAAAACCAUAAACUCUAUCGAGUUUGUAUUGGGCGUCGUCCCCGGACGUAGCCUCAAAGUCAUCGGUCUUAUACGCGGACGAGCUCCAUUAGGACAGACCGUGUGUGGACUUUAAAUCUCUGACUUGACCUCAGAUCAGGUAGGACUACCGCCUGAACUUAA
rnacentral:misc_RNA from 1 species